rnacentral:rRNA from 1 species
AAUAGGGUUCUUGCUAUCACUCUUGGGAUGGACCUGCGGUGCAUUAGCUAGUUGGUAGGGUAACGGGCCUCCAAGGCGAUGAUGCAUAGCCGAGUUGAGAGACUGAUCGGCCACAUUGGGACUGAGACACGGCCCAAACUCCUACGGGAGGCAGCAGUAGGGAAUCUUCCACAAUGGACGCAAGUCUGAUGGAGCAACGCCGCGUGAGUGAAGAAGGGUUUCGGCUCGUAAAGCUCUGUUGUUGGUGAAGAAGGACAGGGGUAGUAACUGACCUUUGUUUGACGGUAAUCAAUUAGAAAGUCACGGCUAACUACGUGCCAGCAGCCGCGGUAAU